rnacentral:rRNA from 1 species
AUUGAACGCUGGCGGCAGGCCUAACACAUGCAAGUCGAACGAGUGGCGGACGGGUGAGUAAUGUCUGGGAAACUGCCCGAUGGAGGGGGAUAACUACUGGAAACGGUAGCUAAUACCGCAUACCAUCGGAUGUGCCCAGAUGGGAUUAGCUCGUUGGUGGGGUAACGGCUCACCUAGGCGACGAUCCCUAGCGGGUCCGAGAGGAUGACCAGCCACACUGGAACUGAGAAACGGACAAGACUCCUACGGGAGGCAGCAGUGGGGAAUAUGGGACAAUGGGCGAAAGCCUGAUGCAGCCAUGCCGCGUGUAUGAAGAAGGCCGUCGGGUUGUAAAGUACUUUCAGCGAGGAGGCGUUACUCGCAGAAGAAGCACCGGCUAACUCCGUGCCAGCCGCCGCGGUAAUUC